AUUGAACGCUGGCGGCAGGCCUAACACAUGCAAGUCGAGCGGAGCGGCGGACGGGUGAGGAAUGCCAAGGAAUAUGCCUGGUAGUGGGGGAUAAGGUCAGGUAACGGGAGCUAAAACUGCAUCCUAUCAGAUGAGCAUAGGUCGGAUUGGAGAGGUGGUGGGGUAAAGGCAUACAAAGGCGACGAUCCGGAACUGGUCUGAGAGGAUGAUCAGUCACACUGGAACUGAUACACGGUCCAGACUCCUACGGGAGGCAGCAGUGGGGAAUAUUGGACAAUGGGCGAAAGCCGUAUCCAGCCAUGACGCGUGUAUGAAGAAGGUCUUCGGAUUGUAAAGCACUUUAAGUUGGGAGGCGUUACCCACAGAAUAAGCACCGGCUAACUUCGUGCCAGCAGCCGCGGUAAUUC
rnacentral:rRNA from 1 species